UACGUAGGGGGCAAGCGUUGUCCGGAUUUAUUGGGCGUAAAGAGCGUGCAGGCGGCCAUGUAGGUCCGUUGUGAAAACUCGAGGCUCAACCUCGAGACGCCGAUGGAAACCAUGUGGCUAGAGUCCGGAAGAGGAGAGUGGAAUUCCUGGUGUAGCGGUGAAAUGCGCAGAUAUCAGGAAGAACACCCGUGGCUAAGGCGGCUCUCUAGUACGGUACUGACGCUGAGACGCGAAAGCGUGGGGAGCGAACAGG
rnacentral:rRNA from 1 species